rnacentral:tRNA from 1 species
GGAGGGUAGAGCUCAGUGGUAGAGCACAUGCUUAGCAUGCAUGAGGUCCUGGGUUCAAUCCCCAGUACCUCCA